ACUUGAUGGGAUGAGCAGUGGGUGUUAUACUAUAUGUUGGCAAAUCAACUCCAAUAAAAAGAUAUACAAAAAUAUUACUAAAUGAAGCUGGCCACAUCUCUUGCUACUUAGGCAAACUCUCACUGAUCCAGUUUGUGUUAAUCCCAUGUGGACAUUCUUUCAUUGGCCUAACACAUUUUAACAUUUACCCUGCUUCCUCCAAUACACCCCCUGCAGCCCCCAAAACAUAACUCCCCUACCUUGUUUUCAGGAAUUGCAGAACACGAGGCGUAAAAUAUUAAUACAGAGAUAGAUUUAUUCCUUAUAUUUCAUAUGCUGUGUAACAAAAUCCUAUUUGUGAUUUGGGGGUUAUUUGCUGGUGGCAUUACCCAAGCGAUCAGAUAUUUUGAGGAUUUGAUGUAUUCAGUCACUGUGAAUAGGUACUGUGGACGAAUCCAGCAGUCCUUGUCCUCCAGGACCUAGCAGGUAAUUGAGGAGACAAGUUCCUGCAUUGUGAAUGGAUAACUAAUAACGCAGACAGAAUUACCUACAGGAAGAUUGACUACCUGGCAGUAGAGCUGACCAUGCAUAAGAAUGUCCCAGUGUCACGUGAAGCCAGCUUUCUUCCUCAUCUUCGUCCCUACCAGCUCUGCCUGCAGUGUGCCUAUCCUUUUUAUUUUGGCACAGGAUGCAUUUCAUUUGUAUAGAGCUACUUAUGAUUGCUCAGCUUCAGCUUUCUCUACGAAAUUAGCAGGCUUCAUCAUUACAGCGUCAGUUCCCAGAUGUUUAGAGGAAUCUUCAGGCAAAAUCCAACCAAACACUGUGCCAACAAGGAGCAAACAUAUUGUAGCUUCUCUCAUUUGUACUGUUAGGACAAAGAUUUCGUUUGAAUACAAAAGGAAUCAUCAUUUAGAUGUGAGGCAUAGUUAGUGCCUAUCAAUGGUAACACAAAUAGUCUGAUUUAGGACAGAAUGUCCACGAAGCUAACCGGACACAUUCUUGAGACCCCAGAAAGUUGCCCAAUGUUUCCAUGGCACAGACCACGUCACUGCUGCUGUCCUUCCCGCAAAAAAAAAAAAAAAAAAAAAAAAAAAAGUAAUAUAAGAAGUGGGUGCUGCCUCCUUUGUCUUCCCAGACCAUUUCGUUGUUCUCAGUUAGAAGGACAAUUAGAUCCCGAUGAUGCUCUGGAGAAAUAUACCUGUCGCUUAGCCAAGAACUAAAAGAAGCGGAUGAGAGAGAGACCAAUGCGAUUCUGAAGAUUUUCCUGUGACCGUUCAGAGAGAAAGUUUACUCUGCAGCAUAAUCUGAGUGUUCAGGGCAGUAAGGAACUGACCUUGUAAGUGGGCACUAUGCCACCUGACCAGAUGGCCUGGAGCACGGAGGUAGCCAAGAGUGCCUUCCUGAUUCUGAAAUGGAUUUGAUGAAAUAGGACUCUCAGAUGAACAUGCCAGUGCACUUGUCAUUUUGACUGGAAUGAGUUUCUGCCUAGAGAUCUGGGACCAGCCUUAGUCUCCAAACAGAUUAAUCACAAGGAGGAGAGUUGAGGAAGAGGAUGAAGAAUGUCUUCCAGGAUGGAAGGAGCUUAGGUGAGACCCCAGGAAAACAGCGCAACCCGAUGCAGUAAGAUCACUUUGAUAAAGGCCACAGAUAGUAGGAGAAGCAGACCAAGAUCAGAGGAGUCUUGCCUACUCUGAGCGGACUGAUAGUCACAUAGUCAGAAUCUCCUCUCUCCCCUGCUGCUGCUUCCUCUCCUGAACAAGACAGAUGUGGAAACUGAGGCUCGCCCUCUCAUAGUUCUACUUUUGCCAAUCUGGAGACUGGUCAGAGACAAAAGAUGUAAUGUGAUAAAGAUAAUAAAGGCAAAGAGGGCCACCAAACUGCAAGGAAGGUUAGAAGAAAGUGAGGACCCUUGUGUAGGAUAUUACACAGGAGUACAAAUGAAGAGAAAAGAUCUACAUGAGGACACAAACCGUUCUCUCUACCGCAACUUUAAGGGACAAAAAGCAAGUCUCAUGAGACCCCGUUUUUUUAUAGAGCUUAACAACUGAAACUAAAUAUGUUAAGUAUAUGUCUUUUUUUAAAAUAUUUUAUGUAUUCAUUCAUGAGAGACACACAGAGAGAGGCAGAGGCACAGGCAGAGGGAGAAGCAGGCUCCAUGCAGGGAGCCCGAUGCAGGACUCGAUCCCGGGUCCCCAGGAUCAUGCCCUGAGCCAAAGGCUGAUGCCCAACCGCUGAGCCACCCACGCGUCCCAAGUAUAUGUGUUUUCAUAAGAAUAAUACAAACAGUGCUGGGCAAUGAUUCACACAUCAUUCAGGAUGGUGGUUAUCUCUAGGGGAGCGAGAGGGAGCUGAGUUGGAAGAGGCUUACAGGCUGAUGGGUUAUUGGACGUUGAUCAUAUUACAAAUGAGUGCAUAAAAUAAAGGACAGCCCUGCAUAGGCAAAUGAGGGGAGUGUGUCAUAGACCAAGGAUUAUCAUUAAUUCCAAUUCUGUGUACCUGAGAUAAACACAGACACAUACCCACAGACAAAAAUAUCAAAUGAACAGCUGAGCACAACCAAUCGGAUACUAAGCACUUAUCACGGGGAGACGCCGGGCUCAGCAUUUUGUACGUGUCACCUCAUUUCAUCCUCAUGACUACAUUAUGAGGUAGGUAAUGUUAGAAACCCCAUUUUACGUACGAGGGUGUUAGGCACAAAGAGGUUACAUCCCUCGCCCAAGGUCAUGUGGAGAUGGACAGUAGAGCCAGGAUUUGAACUAAGUCCAGCAGCCACAUUCUACUGCUCCAGGUUCCUGGCUCAAUUUCUUCUUGAGCUUGAUACUUCCGGGAACUCCUCACUGUGUCAGCACCUGCUGCCUUAGAACCCAGCACGUUGUAGACAGCCCCGGUCAGUCAGUGUGGACGAAACACCUGACGUCUCCUUUGGGGUGACACGGUCAACCUGGGGCCACGGCCUCGGGCAGUUUAGCUGAGUAGUUUUUGCACAGAAGUGAGCACUGAUUGAUUGGAUGUGGUCCCUCCCACGAGUGGUCUGGCCACAGUCUGGUGGUGUUUCUGUGAAGUGGUUUGAGGUAAAGAACUUGGUCUAGGCGUGAAGAGUGCUAAGCUAAUCGGACUUGAUCUUCUGGAGUUUGGACUGUGGAGUAAGGAACACAUGGGCCAGCUGACAGAGAAUGGAGAAAACACGCAGAGAAAAGAGAUGUCUCCAGAAACGAGACAGGCCCUGAGAAAAGGGAGGCCAUCUAUCUGCACAGGGACACCGAGCCUAACCUGUGAUCCUCCAGACACGCGUGUGGAUACCUUGCUUGCUUACUGCAGCCUUCAUCCUCGUGAACACAGUAGGAAGACUCAGCAGGAGUAAUCAUGGAUGGGGUUCGCCUUUUGUGUCUGAGUCUUUAAAAGCCACAAGCUAAUGAAGCUCCUGCCUCCCCGUGACUGAGGUCGCUGUUGUCACUGCCUGAUGAAUGGAGAAAAUAAGCCACCAAGACCAGGUGAGGAAACUGAGGCACAGAGCAGCUAAGUUAAUUGCCCAAGUCACACAACCAUUAAGAGGCAGACUUGCGAUUUAGGAGAAUUAGUUGGGAGUAGAGAUGAAUGGAAACUCUUGGCUACAGACAAGAUUCAAUUCAUGAAGUGAGAAACUGUGGAAAAUUUCCAGAGGCUAAAUAUAGUUCAUCUAUAUUAUAUGGUUCACCUCACAUGCAUAUUCAAAAAAGAAAGCCAAAGCCCAUGAUCAUGAGUAAGGUAAAGAGGAUAUUUCCUAACAGUGGAACCAGAAACAAGCCCCGCGGAAGUGAAAGUGAUUGUUGAUGCCUCUGUAGACUGACCAGUGGUCUUCACUGACAGCCCGUGUAGACUCAUUCCUCCCUCCACACCUCUGCAAGUGUUCCCAUAUCAAAUAAUGCUCCAGAAGGGACUUUUCAAGAACAUCUUGUCCAAGUCCCACUCUGCACAAACAAAAAAUGCUGAGAUGUGGAGUGCUCACUGAAGUGAUUUGCCCUUGGCUGUAGAGCCUGUGAAAGUCAGUGCCACACUUGAAUCCAGACCUUUUAAAUUCAA